UGGGGAAUUUUGGACAAUGGGGGAAACCCUGAUCCAGCCAUCCCGCGUGUGCGAUGAAGGCCUUCGGGUUGUAAAGCACUUUUGGCAGGAAAGAAACGUCAUGGGUUAAUACCCCGUGAAACUGACGGUACCUGCAGAAUAAGCACCGGCUAACUACGUGCCAGCAGCCGCGGUAAUACGUAGGGUGCAAGCGUUAAGCGGAAUUACUGGGCGUAAAGCGUGCGCAGGCGGUUCGGAAAGAAAGAUGUGAAAUCCCAGAGCUCAACUUUGGAACUGCAUUUUUAACUGCCGGGCUAGAGUGUGUCAGGGGGAGGUGGAAUUCCGCGUGUGGCAGUGAAAUGCGUAGAUAUGCGGAGGAACACAGAUGGCGAAGGCAGCCUCCUGGGAUAACACUGACGCUCAUGCACGAAAGCGUGGGGAGCAAACAGG
rnacentral:rRNA from 1 species